rfam:Microgenomates (Roizmanbacteria) bacterium GW2011_GWC2_34_23 TR56_C0015, whole genome shotgun sequence.
GCGAUCAUAGCUCAACUGGCUAGAGCGCUUCCCUGUCACGGAAGAGGUUGAGGGUCCGAGUCCCUUUGGUCGCG